rnacentral:rRNA from 1 species
GACGAACGCUGGCGGCGUGCUUAACACAUGCAAGUCGAACGGUGAACUCCGCUUGCGGGGGGAUCAGUGGCGAACGGGUGAGUAACACGUGGGCAACCUGCCCUCAGCUCUGGGAUAACUCCAAGAAAUUGGGGCUAAUACCGGAUAUGACCGCUGACCGCAUGGUCUGGUGGUGGAAAGAUUUAUCGGCUGGGGAUGGGCCCGCGGCCUAUCAGCUUGUUGGUGGGGUAGUGGCCUACCAAGGCGACGACGGGUAGCCGGCCUGAGAGGGUGACCGGCCACACUGGGACUGAGACACGGCCCAGACUCCUACGGGAGGCAGAAGUGGGGAAUAAUGCGCAAUGGGAGAAAGCCUGACGCAGCGACGCCGCGUGGGGGAUGACGGCCUUCGGGUUGUAAACCUCUUUCAGCAAGGACGAAGCGAAUGUGACGGUACCUGCAGAAGAAGCACCGGCCAACUACGUG